ensembl:lncRNA
GGCGAUUGGAAGACUAUCCAAUCAGAAAUGUGCUCUGUCUGUAGCUCAUUUUGUAUUAUCAGGAUUGCUGCCAUCUGAUUGGUUGACGUCUUUAGAGGGUGGGGUUCUGGAGAGAGGUCAUGUGGAAGAUAGGAAACCAGCUUAUAGCACUUGUGGGACAUAUUUUUUUAUCACAUUCUUUGCCAUUUCAAAUUUAAUAGCAAAGACUGCAUUAGAAUUGGCUGUAUCAGAAACAGGUGGCACUUGUAGAGCCGUUCUGCCGCUCUCUGAUGAAUGAGUUGAGUGAGGGAUCUUGUUAAGUGUGUUUUUAUCUGCUUCAUCUGAACUCGGCCUUGAACUGCUGCUUCCUGGGGGAACAAGUCAUGGCACCAUGCUGCAAACACCAACUGCUUAAGACUCCGGGGAGGGUCAUGCACCUCUGAACGCAUCUGACCGGAAACUUUAUAACAGUGGUGACCUUGGAAUCAACCUAAUCAUGAAAAAAUGAAUGAAAAUAAAAUAUUACAAACCUGUUCCCUCACAUGGCAUAGCCAUAUAUUAUAGUUCAUGACGAACAGACCUUAGUGAGACCAAGCAGAGAGAGAUUAUGUAACGUUUUUGCAAUUUUAACAAUCUUAGAUCAUACAAACAUAAGUUUUUAUAAAGGAUUAAAUAUUAUUAGUGGUUUAAUGUUAUUAGGCAAGCAUCACUAUUAUUUUCACUAUGCUUUCCAUUAGGAUUUUAAACAAACCCUUGACUAUAACUAUUAAACCGGUGGAUAUUAAAAAGGGG